UGGAAAUGUAGUCAACAAUGACAUAUGAUUUGCACCCAUAAAGUGUUUCUGUAAACCUUUUUC
rnacentral:tRNA from 1 species